GAGUAUGUGUUUUACCUGUUUCCCUUGAGCUGGAACUUCAGUACCUGACAGAACUUGGCUGCAUGCAUGAUUUUUCUGGAACUCACAGGCCAUGGCCAGUGUCAGCAACUUCCAUAUGCUCAGAUAGCCUCAGAAAACGGCAUCUGUCAGGGCACAGCGCAGCUUUGCGUGGAAAGGACUGUGUGCCUUUUCAGCGCCUGUGUAGAGAAGAGGCGGAACAUUGCCUUCAUUUGGAGGGACGUUGGCAUGCUGCUGAUUGAGGGCAGACGGGUCCAAAUGAGAUUCUACAAGGACUUCCUAGGGAAGCUCAGUGGGACUGCUGACAUGUUGCAGGCUCUUCUUGCGGUAGGUUUUGCAUUUUCCUAGCACUACCUCUGUUUCUUCUGAAAUGCCUUCCAGGGACUAGGGGACUGCUUUCUCCUGGCCUGCAGUCCUUCUUCAGCCACCUGGGCUCCUGGUGGUCUGCGAGAAAGCAGGCUCUAUAGAGCUCUUCCCUUACAUGAGGUGGCCUGGCUUUGUGCUGGUAUUUGCACCCUCGAAAGGCUUUGGUUUUUCUCAAGAGACCAGAGUAAUGGUGGGCGGCAUUGCUCAGCCCCAACUCAGAGCAUGGAGCAGAGGCACAGGCAGAACAAGGCUUGCUGAGGCCCGAACUCUUUGGUGGCUCUCACUGCAUUGGGCUAAGAGAGACUGGAGCUGCCAGCCAUUCCUAGUGUCCCCAUCUCCCAUCAUC
rnacentral:lncRNA from 1 species